GACGAACGCUGGCGGCGUGCCUAAUACAUGCAAGUCGAACGCAGUGGGGACGGGUGAGUAACACGUGGGUAACCUCCCAUCAGAGGGGAUAACACUUGGAAACAGGUGCUAAACCGAUACUGAUGGAUGGACCCGCGGUGCAUUAGCUAGUUGGUGAGGUAACGGCUCACCAAGGCCACGAUGCAUAGCCGGUCUGAGAGGUUGAUCGGCCACACUGGGACGGAGACACGGCCCAGACUCCUACGGGAGGCAGCAGUAGGGAAUCUUCGGCAAUGGACGAAAGUCUGACCGAGCAACGCCGCGUGAGUGAAGAAGGUUUUCGGAUUGUAAAGCUCUGUUGGUGGAGAAGCGGUAUCUAAACAGAAAGCCAUGGCUAACUACGUGCCAGCAGCCGCGGUAAUAC
rnacentral:rRNA from 1 species